rnacentral:lncRNA from 1 species
UAUAAUCUUCCUCUCCAUAUCAAAACAGUUUUUGUGCUUAUCUUGUUUGCUUUCCUUUCAUAUUUCAUUAACUUUUGAUUUUUCUCCAUUCUUUAACAAGUAAAUAGAAGAUAACAGUGAAGGUAUACUUCCAUGUUGACCAAACUGUGUGUAAUUUCUCAAUUGCUUUAAAUUUGCAAUGAUUGUAAUUUUUUUCUCAUUGUAAAUAAAUAUUCGCUUUUAUAUCUAAUUUUUCAUAAUUUUGUAUUAAAGAAGGACAUCCAAAUUGGAGAAGCUUCAGGCCUCAAAUACCUGGACCCAUUCCUGACUGGAUAUUGAGGAGAGCUCUACACAGAAAUCUACAUCUAUACAAAAUAUCCUCCCAUUCAUUCUUCACCGGCAUAAUUCCUGCUUGUAUUUCGAAACUCAGUCAUCUUAUGGGAAUGUAAGAUGUUGCAGCCUCAAUGGAAGGCAGUUAGGUGAGUUUUCAAGUAGUUAAAUAUAGAAUUACUAUGUGACCCAGCAAUUCCACACCUAGGUGUAUACCCCAAAGAAUUGAAAACAGAGACUUAAAUAGACACUUGUACAGGGAUAUUCAUUGCAGCAGUAUUUGCAGUAGCCAAAAUGUGGAAACAACCCAAGUGUCCACCACCAGAUGAAUGAACAAACUAAAUGUGGUAUAUCUAUACAAUGGAAUGGAAUAUUAUCCAGCCAUAAAAUGGAAUAAAAUUUUGAUACAUGCUGCA